ACAAACGCUGGCGGCGUGCGUAACACAUGCAAGUCGAACGGGCGGCAUCUUCGGGUGUCGUUGCGUGGCGGACGGGUGAGCAACACGUGGAUAACCUAUCGCGGAGUGGGGGAUAUCUUCCAGAAAUGGGGGGCAAUCCCGCAUACGUGCCGUUGGGGGCAGCCCGACAGCGGAAAGGGUGGAUUCGUCCACUCGCUCUGCUUGGAGGGGUCCGCGUCCGAUUAGCUAGUUGGUGUGGUAAGAGCGCACCAAGGCGACGAUCGGUCGCUGGUCUGAGAGGAUGAUCAGCCACACUGGGAUUGAGAACGGCCCAGACUCCUACGGGGGGGCAGCAGUGAGGAAUCUUCGGCAAUGGGGGCAACCCUGACCGAGCGACCGCCGCGUGCGGGAGGACGGCCUUCGGGUCGUAAACCGCUUUUUGUGGGGGACGAGAUGGCGUGCGGGGCCAAGCCGUGCGUCUAGGACGGUACCCCGCGAAGAAGUCUCGGCUAACUACGUGCCAGCAGCCGCGGUAAUACGUAGGAGGCGAGCGUUGUCCGGAGUUACUGGGCGUAAAGGGUGCGCAGGGCGGCUGGCCAAGUUUGCGGUGAAAUCUCCCCGCUUACCGGGGAGGGUGCCGCGAAAACUGGUGAGCUGGAGGCUCGGCGGGGGGGCGUGGAAUUCCGGGUGGAGCGGUGGAAUGCGUAGAGAUCCGGAGGAACACCGACGGCGUAAGCAGCGCCCUGGACGACGCCUGACGCUCAGGCACGAAAGCUGGGGGAGCCAACAGGAUUAGAUACCCUGGUAGUCCCAGCCCUAAACGAUGUCCACCGGGUGCCGCGGGUAUCGACCCCCUGCGGUGCCGCAGCUCACGUGAUGAGUGGACCGCCUGGGGAGUACGGCCGCAAGGUUGAAACUCAAAGGAAUUGACGGGGGCCCGCACAAGCAGCGGAGUGUGUGGUUUAAUUCGAUGCAACGCGAAGCACCUUACCUGGGCUUGACAUGUGGUGGCACUACCCGUAACGGGGGUGUUCCGAUAAGGACCAUCACACAGGUGCUGCAUGGCUGUCGUCAGCUCGUGCCGUGAGGUGUUGGGUUAAGUCCCCUAACGAGCGCAACCCCUGGGGUCCGUUACACGCUUUGUCGGGCCCGACUGCCGCGCGCAACGCGGAGGAAGGUGGGGAUGGCGUCAAGUCAGCACGGCCCCUUACGUCCAGGGCGACACACACACUACAAUGGGCGGGACAAACGGGUUGCCAACGCGCAAGCGGGAGCCAAUCCCAGCAGACCCGCUCUCAGUUCGGAUGGUCGGCUGCAACUCGCCGGCCUGAAGCUGGAGUUGCUAGUAACCGUGGGUCAGCAUACCGCGGUGAAUACGUUCCCGGGCCUUGUACGCACCGCCCGUCACACCACGGAAAGCGGGCAACACCUGAAGCCGCUGGGCGAACCAGGGCAACCUGGAAGCAGGCGUCGAGGGUGGGGUGCGUGAUUGGGGUG
rnacentral:rRNA from 1 species